CCUACGGGAGGCAGCAGUGAGGAAUAUUGGUCAAUGGGCUUACGCCUGAACCAACCAAGUCGCGUGAGGGAAGACUGCCCUAUGGGUUGUAAACCUCUUCUGUCAGGGAGCAAUUGGCGCUACGUGUAGCGUUAUCGAGAGUACCUGAAGAAAAAGCAUCGGCUAACUCCGUGCCAGCAGCCGCGGUAAUACGGAGGAUGCGAGCGUUAUCCGGAUUGAUUGGGUUUAAAGGGUGCGUAGGCGGAAUGCCAAGUCAGCGGUAAAAUCGCGGGGCUCAACCUCGCUCCGCCGUUGAAACUGGCGUUCUUGAGUGGGCGAGAAGUAUGCGGAAUGCGUGGUGUAGCGGUGAAAUGCAUAGAUAUCACGCAGAACUCCGAUUGCGAAGGCAGCAUACCGGCGCCCAACUGACGCUGAAGCACGAAAGCGUGGGUAUCGAACAGGAUUAGAUACCCCUGUAGUC
rnacentral:rRNA from 1 species